rnacentral:rRNA from 1 species
CCUACGGGCGGCAGCAGUGGGGAAUAUUGGACAAUGGGGGCAACCCUGAUCCAGCCAUGCCGCGUGUGUGAAGAAGGCCCUCGGGUUGUAAAGCACUUUCAGUGAGGAAGAACGCCUGGUGGUUAAUACCCAUCAGGAAAGACAUCACUCACAGAAGAAGCACCGGCUAACUCCGUGCCAGCAGCCGCGGUAAUACGGAGGGUGCGAGCGUUAAUCGGAAUUACUGGGCGUAAAGCGCGCGUAGGUGGCUUGGUAAGCCGGUUGUGAAAGCCCCGGGCUCAACCUGGGAACGGCAUCCGGAACUGUCAAGCUAGAGUGCAGGAGAGGAAGGUAGAAUUCCCGGUGUAGCGGUGAAAUGCGUAGAGAUCGGGAGGAAUACCAGUGGCGAAGGCGGCCUUCUGGACUGACACUGACACUGAGGUGCGAAAGCGUGGGUAGCAAACAGGAUUAGAUACCCGAGUAGUC